rnacentral:rRNA from 1 species
AUGAACGCUAGCGACAGGCCUAACACAUGCAAGUCGAGGGGCAGCGGGGAGGUAGCAAUACCUUUGCCGGCGACCGGCGCACGGGUGAGUAACACGUAUGCAAUCCACCUGUAACAGGGGGAUAACCCGGAGAAAUCCGGACUAAUACCCCAUGAUAUGGGCUCUCCGCAUGGAGGGUCCAUUAAAGAGAGCAAUCUUGGUUACAGACGAGCAUGCGCUCCAUUAGCCAGUUGGCGGGGUAACGGCCCACCAAGGCGACGAUGGAUAGGGGUUCUGAGAGGAAGGUCCCCCACAUUGGAACUGAGACACGGUCCAAACUCCUACGGGAGGCAGCAGUGAGGAAUAUUGGUCAAUGGUCGGCAGACUGAACCAGCCAAGUCGCGUGAGGGAAGACGGCCCUACGGGUUGUAAACCUCUUUUGUCGGAGAGUAAAGUGCGCUACGCGUAGCGUAUUGCAAGUAUCCGAAGAAAAAGCAUCGGCUAACUCCGUGCCAGCAGCCGCGGUAAUACGGAGGAUGCGAGCGUUAUCCGGAUUUAUUGGGUUUAAAGGGUGCGUAGGCGGCACGCCAAGUCAGCGGUGAAAUUUCCGGGCUCAACCCGGAAUGUGCCGUUGAAACUGGCGAGCUAGAGUGCACAAGAGGCAGGCGGAAUGCGUGGUGUAGCGGUGAAAUGCAUAGAUAUCACGCAGAACCCCGAUUGCGAAGGCAGCCUGCUAGGGUGCGACAGACGCUGAGGCACGAAAGCGUGGGUAUCGAACAGGAUUAGAUACCCUGGUAGUCCACGCAGUAAACGAUGAAUACUAACUGUUAGCGAUACAAUGUAAGCGGUACAGCGAAAGCGUUAAGUAUUCCACCUGGGGAGUACGCCGGCAACGGUGAAACUCAAAGGAAUUGACGGGGACCCGCACAAGCGGUGGAGCAUGUGGUUUAAUUCGAAGCAACGCGAAGAACCUUACCUGCUCUUGACAUCCCACUGACAGGUCAGUAAUGUGACCCUUUCUUCGGAACAGUGGAGACAGGUGGUGCAUGGUUGUCGUCAGCUCGUGCCGUGAGGUGUCGGCUUAAGUGCCAUAACGAGCGCAACCCCUAUCGACAGUUACUAACGGGUGAAGCCGAGGACUCUGUCGAGACUGCCGGCGCAAGCCGCGAGGAAGGUGGGGAUGACGUCAAAUCAGCACGGCCCUUACGUCCGGGGCGACACACGUGUUACAAUGGCAGGUACAGAAGGCAGCCAGUCAGCAAUGACGCGCGAAUCCCGAAAACCUGUCUCAGUUCGGAUUGGAGUCUGCAACCCGACUCCAUGAAGCUGGAUUCGCUAGUAAUCGCGCAUCAGCCAUGGCGCGGUGAAUACGUUCCCGGGCCUUGUACACACCGCCCGUCACACCAUGGGAGUCAGUAACGCCCGAAGUCAGUGACCCAACCGUAAGGAGGGAGCUGCCGAAGGUGGGACCGAUAACUGGGGUG